UUAAGAAUCUUGCACAAUGGGCGCAAGCCUGAUGCAGCGACGCCGCGUGGAUGAUGAAGGCCUUCGGGUUGUAAAGUCCGGUAAGCAGGGAAGAAUAAGCGCCGGGUAAUAUUCGGUGUGAUGACGGUACCUGCCUAAAGCCCCGGCUAACUACGUGCCAGCAGCCGCGGUAAUACGUAUGGGGCAAGCGUUGUUCGGAAUUAUUGGGCGUAAAGGGCGUCUAGGCGGGGGAUUAAGUUAGAUGUGAAAGCUAUGGGCUCAACCCAUAAACUGCAUCUAAGACUGGUUCUCUUGAGGCCGGGAGAGGAGAGCGGAAUUCCAGGUGUAGCGGUGAAAUGCGUAGAUAUCUGUAAGAACACCAGUGGCGAAGGCGGCUCUCUGGCCUAGGUCUGACGCUGAAGCGCGAAAGCGUGGGGAGCGAACA
rnacentral:rRNA from 1 species